UACGUAGGGUGCAAGCGUUAAUCGGAAUUACUGGGCGUAAAGCGUGCGCAGGCGGUGAUGUAAGACAGAUGUGAAAUCCCCGGGCUCAACCUGGGAACUGCAUUUGUGACUGCAUCGCUGGAGUACGGCAGAGGGGGAUGGAAUUCCGCGUGUAGUAGUGAAAUGCGUAGAUAUGCGGAGGAACACCGAUGGCGAAGGCAAUCCCCUGGGCCUGUACUGACGCUCAUGCACGAAAGCGUGGGGAGCAAACAGG
rnacentral:rRNA from 1 species